rnacentral:rRNA from 1 species
GAGUUUGAUCCUGGCUCAGAACGAACGCUGGCGGCGUGCCUAACACAUGCAAGUCGAACGGAAUUGAGGGGCUUGCUCCUCAUUUAGUGGCGCACGGGUGAGUAACGCGUAGAUAAUCUGCCUGAUGAUCCGGGAUAACACUUCGAAAGGGGUGCUAAUACCGGAUAAGCCCACGGUUUCUUUGGAAUCUGCGGGAAAAGGGGGGGACCUUUUGGCCUUCUGUCAUCARAUGAGUCUGCGUACCAUUAGCUAGUUGGUAGGGUAAAGGCCUACCAAGGCUACGAUGGUUAGCUGGUCUGARAGGAUGAUCAGCCACACUGGAACUGARACACGGUCCAGACUCCUACGGGAGGCAGCAGUGGGGAAUUUUGCGCAAUGGGCGAAAGCCUGACGCAGCAACGCCGCGUGAGUGAUGAAGGCUUUCGGGUCGUAAAGCUCUGUCGAGGGGAAAGAAGUGUACUUUGGCUAAUAUCCAUUGUACUUGACGGUACCCCUAAAGGAAGCACCGGCUAACUCCGUGCCAGCAGCCGCGGUAAUAC